rfam:Staphylococcus capitis strain CR03 genome assembly, contig: BN1517_Contig_5
CCGUGCUAGGUGGGGAGGUAGCGGUUCCCUGUACUCGAAAUCCGCUUUAUGCGAGACUUAAUUCCUUUGUUGAGGGCGCAUUUUUGUGAAGUCUGCCCGAAGCACGUAGUGUUUGAAGAUUUCGGUCCUAUGCAAUAUGAACCCAUGAACCAUGUCAGGUCCUGACGGAAGCAGCAUUAAGUGGAUCCUCAUAUGUGCCGUAGGGUAGCCGAGAUUUAGCUGUCGACUUCGGUAACGUUUAUGAUAUGCGUUCGAUACAAAGGUGCACGG